rnacentral:tRNA from 1 species
GAGCCUAUAACUCAAUUGGUUAGAGUAGCUGAUUCUUAAUCAGCAAGUUGCAGGUUCGAGUCCUGCUAGGCUCA